CAAUGAUUUAUUCGGGAUAACAAUCGAACAUUUACUUAACGAAAACGACAGGUUUGUUGUUCCACCCAACCGUUUAAAAGUAGGAUCUUGGCCCUCGGUGCAGACCCAGUGACCAAUUUGGCUUGUCCUUGAAUCAAAGGCCAAGGGUGUGGGCUGUUGAUUCUGCGAUGCAGGUUUUCUGAAGUAGGUGCUAUUAUUAUCUCUAUUUUACAAACAAAGAAACUGAGGCUCAGAAGAGAUUAAUUGAUGCUUCCCAUGGUCAAACUGCAAGAAAAUAUCUAAGGUCAGUAGAUGACUGGAUGGAUGAGAAGAUACAAACUUCAAAUCUGCUUUAGGCAAGUUUCUUGGGAGGAAAAUCUCUGAGGUAUGGAAGAUGAUUAUGCUUCUCUGGCAAUUCCUUUCCACCAAAGAGAAGAAAGACGUGAUGAAGCAUAUCUUUUUUCAGGUCAGAUGACUUGGCAAGAAGAGUGCUUGGCCUCAAGUUGUUUUUGUGAAGCACAUCUGGAGAGUGAUCAGGAAGUGCUACCAAGCAACAAAACUGAAUUCUCUUUAAAGUUAUUUGCUAUUUUGGAGUCAAAUAAUAAUAAAACUUUAUAUUGAUAUGGCUCCUGUUUCUCAAAGAACUCGAUGCAUUUUACAACAUGGAACUCAUCCAUGCAACAUCCUGUUAGGGAGGACAGUUGGCAAGGUC
rnacentral:lncRNA from 1 species